CAGCCGCCGCGGUAAUACGGAGGGUGCAAGCGUUAAUCGGAAUUACUGGGCGUAAAGCGCACGCAGGCGGUCUGACAAGUCAGAUGUGAAAUCCCCGGGCUUAACCUGGGAACUGCAUUUGAAACUGUCAGGCUGGAGUCUUGUAGAGGGGGGUGGAAUUCCAGGUGUAGCGGUGAAAUGCGUAGAGAUCUGGAGGAAUACCGGUGGCGAAGGCGGCCCCCUGGACAAAGACUGACGCUCAGGUGCGAAAGCGUGGGGAGCAAACAGGAUUAGAACCCCUGUAGUCCCUGUCUCUUAUACA
rnacentral:rRNA from 1 species